rnacentral:tRNA from 1 species
GAAGUAUCUAUUAUAAAGCUUCUAACUUUAAAAAAAAUGUUUAAACAUUUAUGCUUCU